rnacentral:rRNA from 1 species
GAGUGAAGCGGCAACAGCUCAAAUUUGAAAUCUGGGCCCGAGUUGUAAUUUGUAGAGGAUACUUUUGAUGCGGUCCUUCCGAGUUCCCUGGAACGGGACGCCAUAGAGGGUGAGAGCCCCGUCUGGUUGGAUGCCAUCUCUGUAAAGUUCCUUCAACGAGUCGAGUAGUUUGGGAAUGCUGCUCUAAAUGGGAGGUAUAUGUCUUCUAAAGCUAAAUACCGGCCAGAGACCGAUAGCGCACAAGUAGAGUGAUCGAAAGAUGAAAAGCACUUUGAAAAGAGAGUUAAAAAGUACGUGAAAUUGUUGAAAGGGAAGCGUUUAUGACCAGACUUGGGCUUGGAAUCAUCUGGGGUUCUCCCCAGUGCACUUUCCAGUCAGGCCAGCAUCAGUUUUCCCCGGGGGAUAAGGCGGCGGGAAUGUGGCUCUGGGAGUGUUAUAGCCCACCGUAUACCCUGGGGGGGACUGAGGUUCGCGCAUCUGCAAGGAUGCUGGCGUAAUGGUCAUCAACGACCCGUCUUGAAACACGGACCAAGGAGUCGUCUUCGUAUGCGAGUGUUCGGGUGUCAAACCCCUACGCGUAAUGAAAGUGAACGCAGGUGAGAGCGGCGCAUCAUCGACCGAUCCUGAUGUUCUCGGAUGGAUUUGAGUAAGAGCAUACGGGGCCGGACCCGAAAGAAGGUGAACUAUGCCUGUAUAGGGUGAAGCCAGAGGAAACUCUGG